rnacentral:rRNA from 1 species
AGGACGAACGCUGGCGGCGUAGCCUAACACAUGCAAGUCGAGCGGGGACAUGCGACGGAUAGGAAGAUUCGGUGGACUGAAGAUGCAUUGUCUAGCGGCGGACGGUGAGUAACGCGUGAGCAACCUGUCCCUUACAGGGGGAUAACACGGCGAAAGUUGUACUAAUACCGCAUAAGACCACGGGAGGACAUCCUUCAGGGGUCAAAGGGAGGAAUCCGGUAAGGGGUGGGCUCGCGUCCGAUUAGAUAGUUGGUGAGGUAACGGCCCACCAAGUCGACGAUCGGUAGCCGACCUGAGAGGGUGAUCGGCCACAUUGGGACUGAGACACGGCCCAAACUCCUACGGGAGGCAGCAGUGGGGAAUAUUGGGCAAUUGGGGGGAAACCCUGACCCAGCAACGCCGCGUGAGGGAAGAAGGUUUUCGGAUCGUAAACCUCUGUCCUUGGUGAAGAGUGAGAGACGGUAGCCAAGGAGGAAGCCCCGGCUAACUACGUGCCAGCCGCCGC